AGAGCGAACGCUGGCGGCAGGCCUAACACAUGCAAGUCGAACGGACCCUUCGGGGUUAGUGGCGGACGGGUGAGUAACACGUGGGAACGUGCCUUUAGGUUCGGAAUAGCUCCUGGAAACGGGUGGUAAUGCCGAAUGUGCCCUUCGGGGGAAAGAUUUAUCGCCUUUAGAGCGGCCCGCGUCUGAUUAGCUUGUUGGUGAGGUAAUGGCUCACCAAGGCUACGAUCAGUAGCUGGUCUGAGAGGAUGACCAGCCACAUUGGGACUGAGACACGGCCCAGACUCCUACGGGAGGCAGCAGUAGGAAUAUUAGGACAAUGGGCGAAAGCCUGAUCCAGCAAUGCCGAGUGAGUGAUGAAGGCUUAGGUGUAAGCUCUUUACCCGAGAGUAGAUAAUGACGAGUAGUACGGAAGAAAGUAACGACCCCGGACUAACCGUCCCGUA
rnacentral:rRNA from 1 species